rnacentral:misc_RNA from 1 species
UGGUUCCGGCAUCGAUGAAGAACGCAGCGAAAUGCGAUAAGUAAUGCGAAUUGCAGAAUUCAGUGAGUCAUCGAAUCUUUGAACGCACAUUGCGCCCUUUGGUAUUCCGAAGGGCAUGCCUGUUCGAGCGUCAUUGUCACCCCUCAAGCCUGGCUUGAUCUUGGAUUCCAUCGUAACAGGUGGAUCCUAAAGAUAACGACGUUGGUGGUCGACUUCUCGGUACAACGAGCCUCCUUCGGCACGUAUCGCAGAGGUUAAUCACCUCGGUCUUAACGAUAAUUCUUUGAGAUUGACCUCGGAUCAGGUAGGAAUACCCGCUGA